UAUUUGCAACCGCGGGAAAAAUCGAGGUGCAAAAAGAUGACGACGACACAAUUGUUUUGUUGGUAUUUUGCAACCUUAUUUGGACCUGAACUGGCGUGUGCUGGAGGAAUCCUUGUUCAUUACUUGGUUUGCUGCUGAGGUAUGUCCCUUUGUCACCUAUGGCACUUUAGCUGAGGUUCGUUGCGCCCAACUGUAGACCAUGAAGACCUGUGUUUGCACUACAUAUUUUUUCGUCGUAAUCGUACCAUCAACUUGCUUGUCGUGCUGGAGUGGAUAGCAUAAUCGGACACUCUCGGCUUAUGCUCUAAGCCAAAGGUAGAUAUAUUUGGGUUUGGAUUCCCAAAGCACAUCCCAAUCAGGCUAUGCAAAAUGGAGCGGCCCACAAUUUCGUGGAGGUAUGUCGAAUUGUGUGGAAUUUUGCACUAAAGUAAUUGUGCUUGAACAAGGACGUUUUGGCUGCUUAUUUUCCUUGGGCAUCUCGACAUUGCAAACUAGUCCCCUUGCUGUUGUGUCUUCGACAUCUAAACGGAAUUUCUAUAUGGUCUUGUGCGCUCGUCAUCAACAGCACUACACUACUGUAGGUCCAGUGGGCCAAUCAGGCUGAACGGCAUCAUCCAGCUGUAACUGGGGUGUAGGAGUCGACACCUGCUGUUGCGCCGACUCGAGCUAGUACUCGCAUGACCUCGCUAUGUGCAUCCACAAAGGCCGAAAGAACAAGCUGGAAAGGGGUCUGGGAUCGUGCUACGGCGAGGGAAUUGUAUAAGCACAGAAUGUCACACCCUGUACGGUACAGGAGCGUACCUCGUUUCUUACUGGUACCAUAUGACCCAUGGCUGAGAUGAGCGCCAAGCUUCGAAAUAAGGCUGGACAGUAGCCACCGGUUGUUGCAGUCGAUGGAUGGUGAAGAAGAGGUGAAGAAAUCAGCAGCCGUUGCCAGAAGAAGAGAACGGUUCUCGAGGAAUGCAAGACAGACGAAUCUUGCUGUUGCCAGCAAUGCGGACUCCUCGGGUGAGGUGCAUUGGUGCAUUUCGUCUGUUAUACUCUGCACCAGGCUCUCCAGCUUGAAGUCAGUAGUCUGACUGUCCACCAUAUCCAGUUGGCCUUUAUAACAGGCUAGGCAAAAGGCACUAUCCGCGGUGACCGUAAGACCACGCUCAGCGUGCAGCUGACGCUGAACUGCUCCGACGUUCGGACACUUACGCUUAACACCCCUUAUUUGUGCGCCACACAUGGUGCAUGUGGGCCUGUUGCUGUCAUGUAGCUGCAUGUUAUGCCGGUUGCAGAGACCCGCUGGCUGAUCGUUUGCGUUUACUUUCACGUUAAGCUUCUCGGCCAGCUCUACUGCUUGUAAUGAAACUGUGACAUGCCGUGGCAAAUCACAACCAUCUA